UACGGAGGAUGCAAGCGUUAUCCGGAAUGAUUGGGCGUAAAGCGUCCGCAGGUGGCUAUGUAAGUCUGCUGUUAAAGAGUCUAGCUCAACUAGAUAAGAGCAGUGGAAACUACAUGGCUAGAGUGCGUUCGGGGCAGAGGGAAUUCCUGGUGUAGCGGUGAAAUGCGUAGAGAUCAGGAAGAACACCGGUGGCGAAGGCGGGUCUCUGGGCAACAACUGACGCUGAGGAGCGAAAGCGUGGGGAGCGAACAGG
rnacentral:rRNA from 1 species